rnacentral:rRNA from 1 species
GACGAACGCUGGCGGCGUGCCUAAUACAUGCAAGUAGAACGCUGAAGGAGGAGCUUGCUUCUCUGGAUGAGUUGCGAACGGGUGAGUAACGCGUAGGUAACCUUCCUGGUAGCGGGGGAUAACUAUUGGAAACGAUAGCUAAUACCGCAUAAUAGCAGUUGUUGCAUGACAACUGUUUGAAAGGUGCAAUUGCACCACUACCAGAUGGACCUGCGUUGUAUUAGCUAGUUGGUGGGGUAACGGCUCACCAAGGCGACGAUACAUAGCCGACCGGAGAGGGUGAUAGGCCACACUGGGAGUGAGACACGGCCCAGACUACUAAGGGAGGCAGCAGUAGGGAAUCUGCGGCAAUGGACGGAAGUCUGACAGAGCAACGCGGCGUGAGUGAAGAAGGUGUUCGGAGCGUAAAGAUCUGUUGUAAGAGAAGAACGAGUGUGAGAGGGGAAAGUGCACAUUGUGACGGUAUCUGAACAGAAAGGGACGGCUAACUACGUG